rnacentral:rRNA from 1 species
UACGUAGGGUGCGAGCGUUAAUCGGAAUUACUGGGCGUAAAGCGUGCGCAGGCGGUCUGUUAAGACCGAUGUGAAAUCCCCGGGCUUAACCUGGGAACUGCAUUGGUGACUGGCAGGCUUUGAGUGUGGCAGAGGGAGGUAGAAUUCCACGUGUAGCAGUGAAAUGCGUAGAGAUGUGGAGGAAUACCGAUGGCGAAGGCAGCCCCCCUGGGGCCAAUACUGACGCUCAUGCACGAAAGCGUGGGGAGCGAACAGG